GAUUUCUGAACUAGUGUUUCUAGCCGGCCACGGUUUCGUGUGUUAGUGCAAGAAAUACUGUUCAUCCUUUUAUUUUUUAUAUGAGAUCUUCAUUGAUUCCAUAUAGAGAAUAAAUCGUUUACUGUGAGAAAAACAAAGUGCUCAAAGCAGGCUUUACAGCUUGAAUGCGUUGGCAUGGAAUAAUAAGAUAGGACUUUGUUUCUAUUUUGUUGGCUCUGAGGAACAAAGUAAUGAUUGAUAGGGAUAGUUGGGGGUGCUAGUAUUGGCCGGCCAGAGGUGAAAUUCUUGGAUUCGGUCAAGACUAACUUAUGCGAAAGCAUU
rnacentral:rRNA from 1 species